ensembl:lincRNA
CGGGAGCCAUCUCCCGUCCCGAUUGGGGAGCCGCUGCGCCUUCCCCGCCCUCCACCUUCUCCCACCUGGACUCUCGGGUCCACCUGUGCCCGCCCUCCCUGCCUCCCCCUACCUACCCCACGCCCGCCUGCGCCUGCGCCCUGAGCCCGGUGGAGUCUGGCCGCCGAGGCAGGGAAGCUUCUGCGGCCUGGGCGCGGUACGCGAGGAUCCAGGCUCCGACGGCGCCCGCUCGGGGUGGGACAGGCGGCUGCGUGCCCACGAUGGGCUGCUCCAGCAGCGCCCUCUGCAAGGCUGGCGACAGCAGCAGGUUCCGCAGCGAAGCCAGCGAGUCCUGCACCGCCCAGCCCAAACCGUGCGGGGCGCGCCGGGACCCCGCUGUCCCCGGCGGCGCGCAGAGGGGGAGCCUCGCCCCGGCGGAGAAGCCCAGGGCGUCGGUGCUGCCCACGGCUAACGGGGUCCGAGCCCGCGGGUCGCAGCCCACAGAGAAGCCCGAGCCUCCGGGGGGACCCGGGGAAUCCGAGCCACCUCAGCCGGGUGGCAAAGACGGUUCCCCGGGAACAGAGGUGACGAAGGGCGCGGAAGCAGCGCCCGAGGUUCAGGCUGGGACGGGAAGUGCGGAGACGGACGCCCCGGGGCCGGCGGGACACAGCCCGCCUCUGGCGACAGCUGCAGCGCUCGGGGCCGCAGAGCCACCGGGGGACGAGGAGCAGCCCCAGCGCCCAGGGACCCCCAGGGGGAGCAGCGCCCCGGAAACCCUGGGAGGAAGUCAGGCGGUGGAGACCGGGGGAGAGCAGCGUCUUCAAGAAGCAACGGGGCAAGAAGAGCAGGCACAGUCUCAGCUCCCAGAAGCAGCUCCCGAGGAGAGGGCACCGCCGGGAGCCCCGGAAGGAAGCCGGUCCCGGGGAGCCGUGCAGGAGGCGCAGCCUGCAGACGCGCUCGGAGAGGGCGCGCAGCCUCGGGCUGCAGAGGGAAUUCCUGCAGAGGGCGCCACGCCCGAGAGGCAGGACGGAAGCCCGCCUGGGCAAACUGCAGGGGGCCAGGACCCAGCCCACACAGCUCCUCAAGGCCCCGGCGCCCCGGAACAGGACCAGCCUGAAGGCACGGUGCAGGGCACGGAGCACCCAGCGGGAACCGCAGAGGUGGACAGGGAAAGCCGCCCCACCGCAGAGGAGCAGCGCGCUGAAGGCAAGGCGAGAGAAAAGGAGGAAACAGAGGUGAAGGAGAAAGUAAGUGAAGAGGCUGAAACCAAAGAAGAAGAAACAGGAGAAGCCGUGGAUGUUUCAGCAGCCACAUAGAUGGGGCGGUGACAGCAGGGCGGACAGACACAGCGUGGUGUGGCGGAGAAGAGAGAAAAUGGUAGUGACGCUGGUGGGGGGGACCUUAUCUGUCUAGAGCUGCAUGGUUUAUUCCGGAAGUGUGGGAAUAGAUUGUUGGGACCAUGUCAUUGAUUGCAUUUUUACAUAAAACUGCUAUGCUGGAAAGUUUUCUUAGCUACUUAAGAUAAUUACACAUUUAAAAUUAUAAUAGCCGGAGCCAAUGAAAACUAGGGUAUAUGACUGCUUAUGAAUGUGAGGGUGACGUUAGUGGUUGUGGCAGUGGAUAUAAAGGACACUAAAAAGAAAGCAUAAACCUACGUAGGUGGCUGGAGAAAGGAGUUAGUGCAGUUUAAAGAAGUUGUAGUAAUAGUUACACAGCAAAAUUAUGAUAGAGCAAGAAUGAAUAACACCAAAAACUGUGGGAUGAGCUACACUUUGUAUUUCUGUCCUCUCCUAGGAAUCAGGGCCGGUAGGAACUUUGGGAAGUAUUUUACCUAAUUACCUCCUUACCUGAAGUCUACCUGCUGCCACAGACCCUGUGCACCAUGGCGUAUUAAGUACGUUAACAGAACGCUUUCCAGGGGAAUGCACACUCUGGUGCUGGCCCACGAUGAAGCUUUUUUCAAUAGUGAAAGGCUCCACAUUGUCCACGUGCCAUUUUGAAUCAGCCGUUCCUUACCUAUGUGUGAUUCAGCUUAUGUUGUUACCUUCCUGGCUAGCAUGAAAAGCACUUUGAGCUCAGUGACCUCCAUGUAUUUCCGAGAUAACAAACAGCAAGAAUUAAGACCUAGCUUUAUUUCUUACGUGGAGUCUUUCCAGGCCCUAUUUGAUUUUUAGAUAACUACUAUUUACUAUUAGAUUUUAGAAGUGGAAAGGAGGUAAGACAUCAAGAUUUUAAAAACAUUUAUAAUUUCAUUCAUGUUAAAAUGAUGUACCACAUGGGCCAGGGAGUUAGCUCAGUGCAUAAGUGCCUGCCUUGCAAGCACAGGGUCGUGAGUUCAAUUCCUGGUUCCCAAAAAAAAGAAAAUAGAAAGAAAGAAAAUGAUGUACCACAAAAGUGAAGAAGACUUCACUUUUCAAGAAGUCUUCCAAAAUUGGCAAGGGUUUUGGCAAAUAACUGAAUAAGUGGUAUCAUAGUUAAUGUGCCCACUGUUAAGUGCCUGGUGUUUGUGAAUAUCACAGUAGAAUUCUAGAAACAUUUGGUUUCUUUAUGGUAUUUGUAAAUACGUGAUUUUAGGUAACUGCCCAAAUGAAUUACCUAGACUCUCUUUUACUAUAGAUUCAACAUUAAAAUGACUUACUAAGAAAAUUUAUAAUUAAUCACAGGAAUAUAGGAUAUAGGAAGAGAACAUAAACUUUUUUGUUUUUAAUAUUGAUUUAUACCUUUGGCUUUAAAGUGUUCUGGUAGACAACAAAAGGAGUUCCUAGAGCUGAGUGUGGUGGUGCACACCUGUAAUCCCAGCACUCACGAAGCUCAGGCAGGGGGAUUGCCUGGAGCCUGAAGCCAGGCUGAGGUCAAGGCCAGCCUGAACUACACAGCAAGACCUUUUCUAAAAUACACACACACACACACACACACACACACACACACAGAGAACCAAACCAAAAUCCCAAAUUCCUCCAAACCAAAAGGAAUUCCUUGAGCAGAUGACAUCAUCCUAUUAGCAAAAUAAAAAUAGCUGGAUCAUGAUUUCCUGAAAACAAGCACUGUGUUUUCUAUGUCUUUAAUUUAAACAACUAGUGCCUUUAAAGGAACAUGACAGGGAGUCUGAACAUUAGUUGAAUUAAUCACUAGAAAAUAAUAUACUUAAAAUAUGAAUAUGUUAUACUGACCCCAUCCUAUCUGGGAAACUGAAAAAAGUUCACUUUUACGUCAAGACUGCUCAAACUCAGUGAUUUUAUGUUUGGUGUAAUUAAGAAUAAUAGCAGUAUUUCUAGGUCAGAAUCAAGAACUGAUAUAACUUACUUUUUGAGGUACUUUUCUUUCUUGCUGUCUUUCCUUCUUUCUUUCUGUCUUUCUGAAUUCCUUCCUCCCUUCCUCCCUUCCUUCCUUCCUUCCUUCCUUCCUUCCUUCCUUCCUUCCUUCCUUCCUUCCUUCCUUCCUGGCAGUGCUGGGGAGUGCACGGAGGACCUUGCACAUACUAGGCAAGUGCUCUACCACUAAGCUAUUUUCUCAGCCCUGAGAUAAAUAUUUUUUUCAACCCAAAGGUUUUUCCCUGACCAGAAGGAGUUUUUAUACAAGUGUCUUAGAAAACAUCAAGGCAGAUAAGUAUGUGACUGGUGAAUGUAUUAAUUAGUUUGAUUUAAUACUUUCAGAAUGCAUAUAAACAUCAAUACAUCAUAUUGUGCUUCAGAAAUAUCUAAGUUUUUGGUCAAUUAAAAAUAAAACAAAAUUUGAAAAAGAUACAUUAGGGCUUUGUAUAAAAUAUGGUCACCCUCUUAAGUGAUAUUGUCCUUUAUACCAAGCACCGAAAUAGGAUUAAUUUAAUGAAGAGGCAUAAAGACCAGGCUAUCAUGAGUGAUUUAUCUUUUAAAAAAAAUAAUCUCUGACAUAUGUUAAAGAGACCUAUUUGGAACUCAUUCUUGAACUCUUUUUCAAAAAAGCAUUUUCUGUUUCCAAUAUGAAACGUCUCCAGGGCACGGUGGCACACACUCGUAGUCUCCGCGUAUGGCAGGCUGAGGAAGGAGGAUUUCCAGGAGAAGCCAGCCUGGGCUACAGAGUGAAUUCAAGGCCAGCCUGAACUGUACAGUGAGACCUUAUCUCAAAACCAGACCAAACCAAACCAAACCAGACCAAACCAGUGGUCAGGUGGUACAUGUCUGUAAUCCCAGCACUUGGGAGCCUGAGGCAGGAGGAUCACUGCAAGGCUGAGGCCAGCCUAGGGUAUCUAAUGAGUUCAAGGCCAUUUGAACUACAUAGUGAGACUGUGUCUCAAAAAACCAAAAGAACCCCAAAAAACCAAAAACAGCGAAACAACAACAAAAAAACUCAACCCAAACAAACCAAACAUUUUCAAAUCAUUAAUCUCGUUAUUUCUCAUUAGUGACAGAAAUCUCAAAAACCUGGAAAUGCAUAUACAUUUUGGUACUUUCUAUACUGUAUUUAUCCUUUUAUGUGGCUACUAAGAUAUUUACAGGACUUAAAAAAUUAUUUUACAUAAAGUAUGGAUGGUUACUUUGUAGUCCAGUUUAGGUCUGAUUGAGAUAAUGACUGUUUUCUGUACCUGAUUAGAAGGGAACUGGUGAACCAGUGAUGGCCUAACUCGCACUCCUGUGGGGAAUGGACAUUCUGCCAGUUGCAAAUCUAGGAAAUGCCCAGUUUAGACCCCUGGAAGUGUCCUCUCCCAAGUGACCCACAGUGUAGAAGUUUGGGGUUGCCCUGUGAUUUUACUGCUUUUUUCCUUUAGAUUUUGGAGUCAGGUCUCCUAGGGAGGCUCACAACUUUUGAGCAAACAUCCAAUUCACCUUUAAAGGAGAUUUUGUUUCAAACUUGGCUUUGAAUUAAGAAUUGGAAAAAGGAAAAUGUUUUCUAUACAUUUCUUAUCAGGGAACCACAGAUGGUCAUGUUAUCUACCAGAACACUAGUGUUUACACUUGUGUUCUUCUGGCCCAUUGUGUACUUGGAUGGGGAUCACCAGCCCCUCAUGUUAUAAACAUUGCUGGUACGCUGGGCUCCUCACCAGGAAGUCACAGCCCAGAGGUAACCUUUCCAUCCAUCACCACACCCGUCAGUUCAGUGCCAGAACAAGUUAGUAGAUUUCAGCUAGCAAAGAAUCAGCAUGGAUUACUUUCAGGUUUCUUGGAUGUCAGUCGUUUAAAAAGUAUUUUUUAAGGUGCUAAAGACUGAAUGCAAGCCCUUCAGGCUGAGCUACAUCUCCAGGCUUUUUAUUUUUAUUUUGAGACAGGAUCUUGGUAAGUAGAGUUAAAUAGAGACUUUCCAAGAUACAAAGAUGCUUAAGCUGGGUUUGAACUUGGUGGUCCUGCCUCAGGAAAAAACCUUUUUCUUUGGUAAAAAUGAUACCGUUUUUGUCGAGGUCCUUGCAGGAGACACAGAAAGUGGUUACUUAGAUAAUAACUACAAGGAAAGAUUUAUUAAAAUAAUUCUUUUUUUUUCUUAGUAACAAAUGAAUGCAGUUCAUCACAGAAACUUCAGAAAAUACAAAUUUAAAAGAUGGAAUCCUAAUGCAAUUAAAAACAUCACUGUUAGCACGUUGACGUAUACGAGGGUUGUAUUUUCAGCUGCAAAACUUGUAAUAACUUAGCCAAACCAGAAGGAUUAGGGGAAUGCUAAGUCUUUGGAGGGCCUGAGCACAGCACUUCUGGGCAUCCCUCAUUGGAGAUAACAUGUCAGACAGCAGGGUCCAGCAUCCUGGCUGGAUUUGUGAAUGCUGGUUAGUGUCACAGCAGAAGCAACCGUGCCUUCUGUAUUAGCACGUAGCUGAUUAUGAUUCAUCACUUGUUAUAGAGGGACACUUCACUUAAGAAUGAUUUUUUAAAAAUAAUUUACUAUAGCUGAACAAAUGGUAGAAGUGAGAGAAGAGUGUAAGCCUUUCUGAAGGCAGGAAAGGUAGCUUAGAGGUCAUUUUGUCAGCUGGGCCACAUACAAACUUGGCAUUCUGGGAAUAUUUGUAGCUGACAAAUGUUCUCUAUUCUCAUAUGUAUAAUCAUGGUAGUUUCCUUAUUUACUAAAUAUAAUUGGCUAUAGAAGGAAUUAUGGCCAAAGUUUUUAUAAAAUCGUUUUCUACUAUUGAUUCAACAUUUGUAAUUUUGAUUGAUAAAUAUUAUUAGAACUAAUAAAGUGUUUGAAGGCUCAUCU